AGUGAACGCUGGCGGUAGGCCUAACACAUGCAAGUCGAACGGCAGCACAGUAAGAGCUUGCUCUUACGGGUGGCGAGUGGCGGACGGGUGAGGAAUACAUCGGAAUCUACUUUUUCGUGGGGGAUAACGUAGGGAAACUUACGCUAAUACCGCAUACGACCUACGGGUGAAAGCAGGGGAUCUUCGGACCUUGCGCGAUUGAAUGAGCCGAUGUCGGAUUAGCUAGUUGGCGGGGUAAAGGCCCACCAAGGCGACGAACCGUAGCUGGUCUGAGAGGAUGAUCAGCGACACUGGAACUGAGACACGGUCCAGACGCCUACGGGAGGCAGCAUUGGGGAAUAUUGGACAAUGGGCGCAAGCCUGAUCCAGCCAUACCGCGUGGGUGAAGAAGGCCUUCGGGUUGUAAAGCCCUUUUGUUGGGAAAGAAAAGCAGCAGGUUAAUACCCCGCUGUUCUGACGGUACCCAAAGAAUAAGCACCGGCUAACUUCGUG
rnacentral:rRNA from 1 species